rnacentral:rRNA from 1 species
UACGGAGGAUGCAAGCGUUAUCCGGAUUUAUUGGGUUUAAAGGGUGCGUAGGCGGGGCAGCAAGUCAGUGGUGAAAUCUUUCGGCUUAACCGAAAAACUUCCAUUGAAACUGUUGUCCUUGAGUAUACUUGGAGUGGGCGGAAUGUGUCAUGUAGCGGUGAAAUGCUUAGAUAUGACACAGAACACCAAUCGCGAAGGCAGCUCACUAAAUUAUAACUGACGCUGAAGCACGAAAGCGUGGGGAUCAAACAGGAUUAGAUACCCUGGUAGUCCACGCCGUAAACGAUGAUCACUCGAUGUUGGCGAUACACUGUCAGCGUCUGAGCGAAAGCAUUAAGUGAUCCACCUGGGGAGUACGAUCGCAAGGUUGAA